UGGGCCUCCAAGUUCAAGUGAUUGGGAAAAUAUUAAGUUGUACGUAAAGUUUCUUCGAGUGUUUUACGUUGCAAUUUUGAAAUUUUCGGAUUCUUUGUACGACACUUGCAAUGUUUUUUUUGAUGAAAUGGUGUGGAUUCAACAAGACAUUAUAAAGUUGUGUGAAAAUGAAGAUAGUGAUUUGUAUGAAGUGGCAAAGAGUAUGCGUACGAAGUUUGACAAGUAUUGGGGAGAUUUUGAUAAGAUUAAUCAAAUGAUGAUGUUUGUGGUUGUUUGAUCCUCGAUACAAAGUUGCAUUUUUUGAGUAUUGCUUGCAAAAUACCUUGGGCUAUGAUAAGGCAAUAGUUGGUGUGUUCAUAGAUAAGUUAAAAAGUGAAAUUACCCGUUUAUUUGGAUGAUAUGUGAAGCAUAAUAGUAGCUUGAAUGUGCGUAACAAAGAGGUUGGGGGAUCAUCGGACACCGUAGAUUUGGAUGGCUUGAAACAGACAUUGGUAAUCAUAAAUCUUUAAAAUCUCAAUUUAAGAUGUACAAACAAAAGGAGGGCAACAUGGCAAGCAAAACGAAAUUGGAAAAGUAUCAUACGGAAACUAGUGAGGAUGAUUGUGACAACUUUGAUGUACUUCGUUGGUGAAAGUUAAACUCUUCGAAGUAUCCAAUUGUCUCUCAAAUGGCACAAGAUGUGCUAGCAAUUCCCGUGUCCACGGUUGCCUCCAAAUCCGCUUUUAGCACGGGGGGAUGUGUCAUUGAUCCUUAUCAAAGUUCUCUCUCUCCAAAGACCGUGGAAGCACUAAUUUGCACACAACAAUGGAUUAGGAAACCAACCAAGAUCAAUAUAAGAGAACAACUUGAUGAAUUGGAUGCAUUAGAUUCGGUUGUCUUGGAAUCAAGUGAUAAGGACUAAACGGUUGGUGCUUUGGUUGAAGAGUUUUAUCAUGGGUACACAAAUGGUAUGGCUUGAUGUGUUGAGGUGGUGAUGGCGAAAUGUUUUGAAUUGGUGAUGUUUUGGUAGUA